GAUGAACGCUGGCGGCGUGCCUAAUACAUGCAAGUCGAGCGAACGGACGAGAAGCUUGCUUCUCUGAUGUUAGCGGCGGACGGGUGAGUAACACGUGGAUAACCUACCUAUAAGACUGGGAUAACUUCGGGAAACCGGAGCUAAUACCGGAUAAUAUUUUGAACCGCAUGGUUCAAAAGUGAAAGACGGUCUUGCUGUCACUUAUAGAUGGAUCCGCGCUGCAUUAGCUAGUUGGUAAGGUAACGGCUUACCAAGGCAACGAUGCAUAGCCGACCUGAGAGGGGGGGCGGCAAAAGUGGAACGGCGACAGGAGGAGGAAGAGGAAGGGAGGAGCAAGGGGGGAAUAGUGAGGAAGGGGUGAAAGACUGAAGGAGAAAUGAAGAGGGAAGAAUGAAGGUGGAAGGAUUGGAGAAAUCUGUGAUGAGGGAAGAACAAAGGGGUAAGGAAAGAUGCAAGCCAGGAAGGGAGAGAAGAAGAAAGCAAAGGAGAGACCGGGG
rnacentral:rRNA from 1 species